rnacentral:rRNA from 1 species
CCUACGGGAGGCAGCAGUAGGGAAUAUUGCUCAAUGGGGGAAACCCUGAAGCAGCAACGCCGCGUGGAGGAUGAAGGUUUUCGGAUUGUAAACUCCUUUUGUUAGAGAAGAUAAUGACGGUAUCUAUUGAAUAAGCACCGGCUAACUCCGUGCCAGCAGCCGCGGUAAUACGGAGGGUGCAAGCGUUACUCGGAAUCACUGGGCGUAAAGAGCGCGUAGGCGGGAUAGCAAGUCAGAUGUGAAAUCCUAUGGCUUAACCGUAGAACUGCAUUUGAAACUGUUAUUCUAGAGUAUGGGAGAGGUAGGUGGAAUUCUUGGUGUAGGGGUAAAAUGCGUAGAGAUCAAGAGGAAUACUCAUUGCGAAGGCGACCUGCUAGAACAUAACUGACGCUGAUGCGCGAAAGCGUGGGGAGCAAACAGGAUUAGAUACCCCUGUAGUC